CCCCAAGCUCAAACAUGCAGGGGCAGCUUUACUCUGCCAAUGGCCAUGUUGGAGUCAUGAGUCCUAGUAGUGUUGGAAACGGGAAUGAUGGCGUGGCCUUUGAUAUCAAUGACUUUCCUCAGCUUACGACCCGGCAGUCUCCAUCUGGAAACAUGCAAGGAUCUGUAGGUGAGUGUUGCUUAUGUUUGGGUUUGUAGUUUACUUUUUGAUGAAUCAUUCAAUCAAAGAUACAAGUCUACUUAGACAGAUUCUCAGACCAGCAUGCAAGGUGCAUGUCACGUUUAUGCGGGUAAACAUCUAAUGGUUUUCUUCCUGUUUCAGUGAUUUCGUUUACUCCGUAUACUUGCAAUGCAAUCUUAUUAUAGCUGCUGUUGGCAUUUAGGUUUAUCUUUCGGGGGUUUGAACAUUGUUAUGUGCUAACAGGUGGACUCAGAAAGCAAGGAAUCAACGCCCUAGUUCAGCAAAACCAGGAGUUCAGCAUACAGAACGAGGACUUUCCAGCUUUACCAGGUUAUAAAGGUGAUCUUUAGUAUGUUGUAUUUGCCGAGAUUAGCGAAGGAUGGAGAUAAUCCAAGCAUGAAUGUAUCAAUCUAAACAAUAUCUUCGACAGUAUUUUGAGUAACUGUUUGUACACGAUUAUUUUUAUAGAGAGGAGCAAAAGAAGCUGUGUAAAAGAUCAAUUUGAAGGAUGUAAAAUAUGUACUUGGAAUGUACUUAUUGAAGACGUGUCUUUUACGCAGGUGGAAAUCAUGAUCUGGCCUCUGAAUUGCAGCAACAUCACAAGGACCAGCAGCAUGACUUGGCGGCAAUGCAAGUGCAACACUUCUUGGUAAAUAAGUGCCUGAGGACGCAAUUUUUUUCAUAUUCUGCACGUCAAAAAAUGGCAAGAGGAUUGUGUUGGGAAGAUCUCAAUUUAUUCGCAUUAAUGCCGCUGUUUGUGAUGAAUAGUACUUUGUUAUGUCCUGCUUGGUGUAUGCGAUGGAGUAUUAGCAGUUAGUUCAUCUGGGUAGAUUGAGUUAGCAGGAAGUAAGAUUGAUCAGUUAAAAGAUUGGUUCUUUAGUUAAGUUUAGUUAGUCACAUGGUUUCAGUGCAGAUGGGGAGGUCUACUGGAUUUUCGCAGGGAGGGUUCUAUGCAUCCAACCGGCAUAUGUUGCAGCAGCAGCAGCAGCAGCCAGCUGGAAACGCUUCUGAACCACAACAUCUACAUGCUGGUGUUGGGGGUUCAUUUUCUUCAGCUCGUGGUCACCCUUCGUAUCACUCCGAGGUGAGAUUACUUCACAUUGUAAUGAUACGCGGAAGCUACUAGUAUGUUCUUUUAGGACGGUUGGGCUUCUGCUCUGACAAGGUCGUGUUUUAAGUUUGCAGUUGGUAAUGUUGGCGCGUAGAUGUUCCACCAUGCCUGCCGUCGUCUCUGUUUUCAGUGACUUAGCUCGAACCACCUUGAUUCAUUUAUGAAUAUAAUUGAAAUUCUCAACAGCAUCUUGGAUGAUUGUUGGAAGCAUUAUGCGUCUAAAGCUGUAUUAUGUUCUACUUUGGUCU
rnacentral:lncRNA from 1 species